UGUUACGUUUGACCCCUUUCUAAAUGGCAUUGUGUAUUCACGAGAAAUAUUGUCAAACUUUGCCUUGUACAGUGUAUAUUGAAAAAUGCACUUAUUGAUAUACAAAUGUGGUUUCAGAUUUUGUGGCUGUUAUUUAGUCUGCUUAUGGCUGUACUUUGUGCAGUCUUCCUUGUGUUUAUCUCUUCGCUGAAAUUUACAGCUGAUAAGUAAGAAUAGGUAGUAUUUGUCUUUGGAAUGUGAGUUACAAUGUCCAGUUUUGGUAUGUUCAAGUACAUGAAGUCAGUGCGAUAAAGAUGAUCAACGAGGUUGGUCAUUAACACUCAUUUGACUUAAACAAAUUUUGUGAGAAUUUGUACGUGACCAGGUUAUAAGAUUCUCAACUGAAGGCUUUGUUUUGUUGAUCUUUUUCCAUGCAUUUGUGGAACAUUUACCAGUAUUUACUUUUUUGUUUUGCUUUGUCUCAAGUUUAUACAACUUACAUUAGUUUUUUAGUUGCUCAUGUUGUUCUGUCUGUUUUCAGCUCUUGUAGUUUGUGCAAUAUUGCAUGUUUAUACCUUUACAUUUCUACUUGUAUUGCAACUGUAUUAAGUAUAUUUGCUCAAUGUUAUGUAUUUGCUGGAAAUGUUGUAAAAUAAGAUCUGUUAAUGACAGGUACAUUGUUUUCGAGAUCUGUCCAAUAAUUAAACAAGGUUUGUUUCAGCAAUGACAUGUAUCUACAUGUAGAAUUAUGACCUUGAAGCAUUAACCCUUGAUGUACUGAAUAGAAUCAGGAGAUUAUUUACAACAAACUUUAAGCCAGAAAAGAUGCUAUUUUAAGCAUUGUCAUUUGGAAUGGUCCAGAGGCUGUGGGUUAAAUAGUGGUUAAAGGCGUUUCUAUUCCGCCACAUGGUAAGGUGUGUAAAGUCCAAAUUGGGGAUCCCCUGCUGUGAUAUUGCUG